rnacentral:rRNA from 1 species
GUGCCAGCCGCCGCGGUAAUACGUAGGGUGCGAGCGUUAAUCGGAAUUACUGGGCGUAAAGCGUGCGCAGGCGGUUUCGUAAGACAGACGUGAAAUCCCCGGGCUCCACCUGGGAACUGCGUUUGUGACUGCGAGGCUAGAGUACGGGAGAGGGGGGUAGAAUUCCACGUGUAGCAGUGAGCUGCGUCGAGAUGUGGAGGAAUACUGAUGGCGAAGGCAGCCCCCGGGGUUAGUACUGACGAUCA